rnacentral:rRNA from 1 species
UACAGAGGGUGCGAGCGUUGUUCGGAAUUACUGGGCGUAAAGCGCGCGCAGGCGGCCUUUUAAGUCUGACGGUGAAAUGCCGGGGCUCAACCCCGAGUCGGCCGUCGAUACUCCCGGGCUGGAGCACUGUAGAGGCAGGUGGAAUUCCGGGUGUAGCGGUGGAAUGCGUAGAGAUCCGGAAGAACACCGGUGGCGAAGGCGGCCUGCUGGGCAGUAGCUGACGCUGAGGCGCGACAGCGUGGGGAGCAAACAGG